rnacentral:rRNA from 1 species
UACAGAGGGGGCAAGCGUUGUUCGGAAUUACUGGGCGUAAAGGGCGCGUAGGCGGCCUGCUAAGUCAGACGUGAAAUCCCCCGGCUUAACCUGGGAACUGCGUCUGAUACUGGACGGCUUGAGUAUGGGAGAGGGAUGUAGAAUUCCAGGUGUAGCGGUGAAAUGCGUAGAUAUCUGGAGGAAUACCGGUGGCGAAGGCGGCAUCCUGGACCAUUACUGACGCUGAGGCGCGAAAGCUAGGGGAGCAAACGGG